CCUACGGGUGGCAGCAGUCGAGAAUCAUUCACAAUGGGGGAAACCCUGAUGGUGCGACGCCGCGUGGGGGAAUGAAGGUCUUCGGAUUGUAAACCCCUGUCAUGUGGGAGCAAAUUAAAAAGAUAGUACCACAAGAGGAAGAGACGGCUAACUCUGUGCCAGCAGCCGCGGUAAUACAGAGGUCUCAAGCGUUGUUCGGAAUCACUGGGCGUAAGGCGUGCGUAGGCUGUUUCGUAAGUCGUGUGUGAAAGGCGCGGGCUCAACCCGCGGACGGCACAUGAUACUGCGAGACUAGAGUAAUGGAGGGGGAACCGGAAUUCUCGGUGUAGCAGUGAAAUGCGUAGAUAUCGAGAGGAACACUCGUGGCGAAGGCGGGUUCCUGGACAUUAACUGACGCUGAGGCACGAAGGCCAGGGGAGCGAAAGGGAUUAGAUACCCCGAGUAGUC
rnacentral:rRNA from 1 species